rnacentral:rRNA from 1 species
GACGAACGCUGGCGGCGUGCCCAAUACAUGCAAGUUGAGCGCUGAAGGUUGGUACUUGUACCAACUGGAUGAGCAGCGAACGGGUGAGUAACGCGUGGGGAAUCUGCCUUUGAGCGGGGGACAACAUUUGGAAACGAAUGCUAAUACCGCAUAAAAACUUUAAACACAAGUUUUAAGUUUGAAAGAUGCAAUUGCAUCACUCAAAGAUGAUCCCGCGCUGUAUUAGCUAGUUGGUGAGGUAAAGGCUCACCAAGGCGAUGAUACAUAGCCGACCUGAGAGGGUGAUCGGCCACAUUGGGACUGAGACACGGCCCAAACUCCUACGGGAGGCAGCAGUAGGGAAUCUUCGGCAAUGGACGAAAGUCUGACCGAGCAACGCCGCGUGAGUGAAGAAGGUUUUCGGAUCGUAAAACUCUGUUGGUAGAGAAGAACGUUGGUGAGAGUGGAAAGCUCAUCAAGUGACGGUAACUACCCAGAAAGGGACGGCUAACUACGUG